rnacentral:lncRNA from 1 species
UCUAAUAUAUUUUUAUUCUGAAUUUCCGCAUAAAGGAUUACAUUAUCACUUACAAAACUCGCUGGGACAAUUUCCAAAAAAAAAAAAAAAGUUUGGCUCGGUGCUUGCUGGAGAACACUGAAGGAAGUCGUCGAGGAAACCGCUGAUGCUGCUAAGAUAUGGAUUGGGAUGCUGGGGGUGAGCCGAGCACGUCGAGAGAAGCUGGACCUAUCGCAAGGGCGUGAAAGGACUGGUACUAUACCCACAAAAGAAUGCGGUCAACGAGCUGAAGAGCACUGACCAAAAAAAAAAAAAAACGAGCUGAAGAGCAACGAAAAUGGAAAACUGACACCCGCAAGUAACUUUUGGGAUUGUAGAGACGCUCGCAAGAACACCAGGAGACCUGCAAAAGGAGAAUUCAGGUGCAGCAGCAAUUUGUCAACUCAGACGGAUCGGAUGAUGACUCGUCAGCGGUAUUGUGGAGCUUGUCGGGGCCACAGGGACACCGAGACAAGUUGGGCAGCAAUGGCAAUUGAUGCAAGUGGUGUCGGAAUUGAUCUGGGAACUGGGAGCUUCUGCUGGAGAACCACAGGAGCCAAGCUGAUUUGCUGGACUUGUUGGGCGUUGAAGGUGCUGCAGGGAGUGCUGUGGCUGUGGAGGGUGGUGCGUCGCAUUGUAGGCGUAGGUGGACAGGAUAGCGAAGACGAGGAGCACAGCGACCGCGGGAAGAGGCUUCAUUCUUCUCAUGCUCUGCGGGUGUAUUCGUGUCUGUGUAUGUGCACGUAGCUUCUUUUCUAUUAUAAUGGCGCACCUUUCCU